AUUGAACGCUGGCGGCAGGCCUAACACAUGCAAGUCGAACGAGUGGCGGACGGGUGAGUAAUGUCUGGGAAACUGCCUGAUGGAGGGGGAUAACUACUGGAAACGGUAGCUAAUACCGCAUACCAUCAGAUGUGCCCAGAUGGGAUUAGCUUGUUGGUGGGGUACCGGCUCACCAAGGCGACGAUCCCUAGCUGUUCUGAGAGGAUGACGAGCCACACUGGAACUGGAAAACGGUCCAGACUCCACCGGGAGGCAGCAGUGGGGAAUAUUGCAAAAUGGGCGCAAGCCUGAUGCGGCCAUGCCGCGUGUAUGUAGAAGGCCUUGGGGUUGUAAAGUACUUUCAGCGGGGCGGCGUUACCCGCAGAGGAAGCACCGGCUAACUCCGUGCCAGUAGCCGCGGUAAUUC
rnacentral:rRNA from 1 species